UACGCGGUAUUUUCUUCCUAUUUGUCUCAGGUGGCUUAUUUUGAAGCACAAGUAAAAAUGGAAGAAAAGGAGGUGCAAAAAGGAGAGAAAAUGAACCAAAUGUCAAAGCCCAGCCCAAAGCACAAAACGCAGGUGCCGUGCAUGUGAUGGACGUCACAGAGGGCGUGACGAGCGUCACGCCUUGCACACUCCUGUGACGGACGUCACACAUGGUGUGAGGAACGUCACACCAUUCCCCUACAUUUUUGGCGCAAGGAACGCCUCAGAGACGUUGAGCGUUGAGGGAGUGUUGAGCCCUAUAUCCACGCCGUGCUUUUAUGCACGUUGAAGACCUUUUUGGCAGCGGAAGCGGUUACUCAAGCAUAUAUAAAUAGCCACUUGCAAAACCAAAAAGGGUUCCGAAGCUUUUCCAUAUUUUUUCCUUUGCCGUUUUCGCUUUUGCACAUUUUCUUUUCCAGCAACUUAAGUAGUAUUGUUUCUUUAUUAUUUUUACGAGUUCUACACUAUCUCUCUUGCAAUUUCUAUUUUCCUUUUUCCUUUUUAGCAUUUAUUAAUUCUUUUCGCACAAUAGUUUCUACACCGGAAACUAUUGUGCACCUUUUUACCGGAUCUAACCUUACGUUAGAAUCUAGCUUUAUUUCCUUCGUUUUAAUUUGUUGUUUAAUUGAAGAAUCCAAGAACAAAUCCUACCGGCUUGUGGUGGAGUGUUCAAGACUAUUGUUUAACUCAUUCAGGUUCUUUAAUUAUUAUUUAAUGCUUUGUUUUAUUAUUUAUUUAUAUUAUCUGCCUGGGAUGAGUCUGUUUAUGCAUGAUAAGUAUUUUAGUUUGUUUAGCAUGUCUGGCUAAUUCGCUUAGAUAUCGGUAUGUAAAGUAAGCGGAAUAAGGAAUCAAGACUAAGUCGGUUAAAUUAAGUUUAAAAUUAAAAUCACUCUUUUUACGGUCUCAAUUUACAGGUUUAAUAACAAAGGUUUUUACGAAAG
rnacentral:lncRNA from 1 species